rnacentral:rRNA from 1 species
GACGAACGCUGGCGGCGUGCUUAACACAUGCAAGUCGAACGGAAAGGCCCUGCUUUUGUGGGGUGCUCGAGUGGCGAACGGGUGAGUAACACGUGAGUAACCUGCCCUUGACUUUGGGAUAACUUCAGGAAACUGGGGCUAAUACCGGAUAGUAGCUCCUGCUGCAUGGUGGGUGUUGGAAAGUUUCGGCGGUUGGGGAUUGACUCGCGGCUUAUCAGCUUGUUGGUGGGGUAGUGGCUUACCAAGGCUUUGACGGGUAGCCGGCCUGAGAGGGUGACCGGCAACAGUGGGACUGAGAUACGGCCCAGACUCCUACGGGAGGCAGCAGUGGGGAAUAUUGAACAAUGGGCGGAAGCCUGAUGCAGGAACGACGCGUGAGGGAUGACGGCCUUCGGGUUGUAAACCGCUUUCGCCUGUGACGAAGCGUGAGUGACGGUAAUGGGUAAAGAAGCACCGGCUAACUACGUG